CAGCCGCCGCGGUAAUACGAAGGUCCCGAGCGUUGUUCGGAAUCACUGGGCGUAAAGGGAGCGUAGGCGGCGUGGUAAGUCAGAUGUGAAAUCCCGGGGCUCAACCCCGGAGCUGCAUCCGAUACUGCCAUGCUAGAGGAUUGGAGAGGUAGCUGGAAUUCUUGGUGUAGCAGUGAAAUGCGUGGAGAUCAAGAGGAACACUCGUGGCGAAAGCGAGCUACUGGACAAUAACUGACGCUGAGGCUCGAAGGCCAGGGUAGCGAAAGGGAUUAGAUACCCCAGUAGUCCCUGUCUCUUAUAC
rnacentral:rRNA from 1 species